rnacentral:rRNA from 1 species
AUUGAACGCUGGCGGCAGGCCUAACACAUGCAAGUCGAGCGGAUGAAGGGAGCUUGCUCCUGGAUUCAGCGGCGGACGGGCGAGUAAUGUCUAGGAAUCUGCCUGGUAGUGGGGGAUAACGUCCGGAAACGGGCGCUAAUACCGCAUACGUCCUGAGGGAGAAAGUGGGGGAUCUUCGGACCUCACGCUAUCAGAUGAGCCUAGGUCGGAUUAGCUAGUUGGUGGGGUAAAGGCCUACCAAGGCGACGAUCCGUAACUGGUCUGAGAGGAUGAUCAGUCACACUGGAACUGAGACACGGUCCAGACUCCUACGGGAGGCAGCAGUGGGGAAUAUUGGACAAUGGGCGAAAGCCUGAUCCAGCCAUGCCGCGUGUGUGAAGAAGGUCUUCGGAUUGUAAAGCACUUUAAGUUGGGAGGAAGGGCAGUAAGUUAAUACCUUGCUGUUUUGACGUUACCAACAGAAUAAGCACCGGCUAACUUCGUG